rnacentral:rRNA from 1 species
AGGACGAACGCUGGCGGCGUGCUUAACACAUGCAAGUCGAGCGGAAAGGCCCUUCGGGGUACUCGAGCGGCGAACGGGUGAGUAACACGUGAGUAAUCUGCCCCUAGCUCUGGGAUAGCUCCGGGAAACCGGGAUUAAUACCGGAUACGACCACUUUAGACAUCUGUUGUGGUGGAAAGAAUUUUGGCUAGGGAUGAGCUCGCGGCCUAUCAGCUUGUUGGUGGGGUAACGGCCUACCAAGGCGACGACGGGUAG